rnacentral:rRNA from 1 species
CAACAGUGAUGCCCUUAGUAAUGGCGAAUAAAACGGGCAGAGCCCAGCACCGAACCGCCGGCCAUAUCGGUCGUGCGGAAUGUGGUGUUUGGGAGAGCCUCAUCGAGGUGAGAGUGCCUGUCCAAGUCCAUCUUGACAGGGGCCAUUGCUCAGAGAGGGUGAUAGGCCCGUAGGACGGUCGGCUCGCCGAGGUGGCUUUUCCCCAGAGUCGAGUUGCUUGGGAGUGCAGCUCAAAGUGCGUGGUAAACUCCACGUAAGGCUAAAUAUGACCCCGAGACCGAUAGCGAACAAGUACCGUGAGGGAAAGUUGAAAAGUACUUUGAAGAGAGAGUUCAAUAGUGCGUGAAACUGUGCGGUGGUAAACGGAGGGGUUUCUCGAAGUUGGCCCUGGAGGUUCAGGUUGCGGGCUGGGUGGCCUGGGGGUACGGGAUCCGCAAGGACUCUGCUCUCCGGUCGGCCUGGUCUGCGGCUGCACUUCUCUGGGGCUUGGCGCGACGAACCGCUGGCGGUGCACCGUGGGCGUGGGUGAAGUUGGAGCUUGGUUCGCCAGGCUCCAGCCCCGCGUUGCGGGCUGCGCAGCCGGCGGGUAGUGGGGCGGCCUCGUAUAACGAGCACAAACUCUUGUGCGGGUCGCGUUUCUGUCGCGAGUAGGUCGGCGGCCCCUCCGACCCGUCUUGAAACACGGACCAAGGAGUCUAACAUGUGCGCGAGUCAUUGGGCGUUCUAAACCCAAAGGCGCAGUGAAAGCAAAGUGUCCUCGUGACAUGAGGGGCGAUCGCUUCCGCUUAACGGCGGGGGUGCGCAGCCCCGGCGCUUCGCGUCGAUCGCAUCGUGCGGAGCAGCAAGAGCGCACACGUUGGGACCCGAAAGAUGGUGAACUAUGCCUGGCCAGGUUGAAGUCAGGGGAAACCCUGAUGGAGGACCGUAGCGAUUCUGACGUGCAAAUCGAUCGUCGGAGCUGGGUAUAGGGGCGAAGACUAAUCGAACCAUCUAG